UGCUGCUCCUUCCAUCCCCACCUCCUUCUAUCUCCACACAUGCUGCUUUCCCGUCCAUCUCCACCUCCCCAGCUCCCUCCCUCCCUCCCUCGCUCCCUUCCUUGAGCGCGGCCGCCCAAGCCUACUUUGCCGCUGCGAGCUACGAUGAGGAUGGCGGCUUCCUGGAACAACGACCAGGGCCACUGCGCGGCGAGCUGCAACGGCGACACCCACGGUCGCCGGCUGCGGGGACUACUGGCGCUAGAAGUUGCAACCUUGUCGUGGGGAGCUGCAACCGGCAAUGCCGGGAGCUACAACCUCGUGUUGGCGGAGCACUAGGGCUCGCCGGUCACCACGAUCAUCAUCGAUUCUUUGCUACAGUCGGUGUCAAAAUUUGCUACAACAGAGAUCAAGAGAAUAAGAGGAGAACUCACUGGCUUGCCUGGGAAAAUUGACUACACCUAAAGGUGAAGGAGGUUAACACAGAGUCCCUGUGAUUUGGUUUCACCCAUUAAAGAUGACCCCUAAACAUAUAUGAAGACAUUGAAGAUAAUGCUGGUACGCGAAGACUUUCGCUUGAAGACAAUGAAGCGCGAACACAUAGUCUUUUGGUAGUUUCAUUUUCUUCUUUCUUGUGUAUUAAGAACCAUCGUAUUGCUAAGUGGGGUCGAGGUUAAUGAAGUCAGAAACUGACGUUAUACUCAACCUAAAAUCCUAUGUCCUC